GAUGAACGCUGGCGGCGUGCCUAAUACAUGCAAGUCGAGCGAACGGACGAGAAGCUUGCUUCUCUGAUGUUAGCGGCGGACGGGUGAGUAACACGUGGAUAACCUACCUAUAAGACUGGGAUAACUUCGGGAAACCGGAGCUAAUACCGGAUAAUAUUUUGAACCGCAUGGUUCAAAAGUGAAAGACGGUCUUGCUGUCACUUAUAGAUGGAUCCGCGCUCCAUUAGCUAGUUGGUAAGGUAACGGCUUACCAAGGCAACGAUGCAUAGCCGACCUGGGAGGGUGAUCGGCCACACUGGAACUGAGACACGGUCCAGACUCCUACGGGAGGCAGCAGUAGGGAAUCUUCCGCAAUGGGCGAAAGCCUGACGGAGCAACGCCGCGUGAGUGAUGAAGGUCUUCGGAUCGUAAAACUCUGUUAUUAGGGAAGAACAUAUGUGUAAGUAACUGUGCACAUCUUGACGGUACCUAAUCAGAAAGCCACGGCUAACUACGUG
rnacentral:rRNA from 1 species